GACAUGCAAGUCGAACGAACUUAACCAUUAGUUUACUAUUGGAGCGGUUAGUGGCGGACUGGUGAGUAACACGUAAGCAACCUGCCUAUCAGAGGGGAACAACAGUUAGAAAUGACUGCUAAUACCGCAUAUGCCUUGAGUAUCACAUGGUACAAAAGGGAAAGGAGCAAUCCGCUGAUAGAUGGGCUUGCGUCUGAUUAGAUAGUUGGUGAGGUAACGGCCCACCAAGUCGACGAUCAGUAGCCGGACUGAGAGGUUGAACGGCCACAUUGGGACUGAGAUACGGCCCAGACUCCUACGGGAGGCAGCAGUCGGGAAUAUUGCGCAAUGGAGGAAACUCUGACGCAGUGACGCCGCGUGCAGGAAGAAGGUUUUCGGAUUGUAAACUGCUUUAGACAGGGAAGAAACAAGACAGUACCUGUAGAAUAAGCUCCGGCUAACUACGCGCCAGCAGCCGCGGUAAUACGUAGGGAGCAAGCGUUAUCCGGAUUUAUUGGGUGUAAAGGGUGCGUAGACGGGAAAUUAAGUUAGUUGUGAAAUCCCUCGGCUUAACUGAGGAACUGCAACUAAAACUGGUUUUCUUGAGUGCUGGAGAGGAAAGUGGAAUUCCUAGUGUAGCGGUGAAAUGCGUAGAUAUUAGGAGGAACACCAGUGGCGAAGGCGACUUUCUGGACAGUAACUGACGUUGAGGCACGAAAGUGUGGGGAGCAAACAGGAUUAGAUACCCUGGUAGUCCACACCGUAAACGAUGGAUACUAGGUGUAGGGUGUGAUAAACAUUCUGUGCCGUCGCAAAAGCAGUAAGUAUCCCACCUGGGGAGUACGGC
rnacentral:rRNA from 1 species